ACAAUCACCUCUGCUGCACUCUGGGUUCUGCCUUAAAGGUUUCAAGGUGGGAGCUGCAUCCAAAGGUGAACAACCAAGUUUUGUACAAUGGAAUAGGGAAGAAGAAGGUGGAUGUUUAGAUUUUAGGUUGGCGAAGAGAUGUCCCUUUUUAGUGAUUCACCCACAAACUUAAAAUGUAUAGUGAAUGAAUACACCAACAGAGAAGAAACCAAGUGACCAGCCCCCAGACCAAUGAGAACAUCAAACAAGAUGAAUGAAAACGGAGAGACAAAAGUUUUCAGCGGAUCCUUACUCGG